rnacentral:rRNA from 1 species
CUACGUGCCAGCAGCCGCGGUAAUACGUAGGGCGCGAGCGUUGUCCGGAAUUAUUGGGCGUAAAGAGCUUGUAGGCGGUUGGUCGCGUCUGCUGUGAAAGGCUGGGGCUUAACCCUGGUUUUGCAGUGGGUACGGGCUAACUAGAGUGCAGUAGGGGAGACUGGAAUUCCUGGUGUAGCGGUGGAAUGCGCAGAUAUCAGGAGGAACACCGAUGGCGAAGGCAGGUCUCUGGGCUGUAACUGACGCUGAGAAGCGAAAGCAUGGGGAGCGAACAGGAUUAGAUACCCUGGUAGUCCACGCUGUAAACGAUGGGUACUAGGUGUAGGAGGUAUCGACCCCUUCUGUGCCGGAGUUAACGCAAUAAGUACCCCGCCUGGGGAGUACGACCGCAAGGUUGAAACUCAAAGGAAUUGACGGGGGCCCGCACAAGCGGUGGAGUAUGUGGUUUAAUUCGACGCAACGCGAAGAACCUUACCAGGUCUUGACAU